UCUGUUAAAUGGCCUAUGACACCGGUUCUCGUCCGAUCACCAAAGUUAAGCAAUGUUGGGCCCGGGCAGUACUUGGGAGGGUGACCACUUGGGAACACCAGGUGCUGUUGGCU